GUCUUUAUAGGCUAAUAAAACCAUUAGUCUUGUAAACUAAAAUUGAAAUUCUAAAGACU
rnacentral:tRNA from 1 species